rnacentral:lncRNA from 1 species
GCGGAAGUUGCAGUGAGCCGAGAUUGCGCUACUGCAUUCCAGCCCGAGUGACAGAGCGAGACUCCAUCUUAACAACAACAACAAGACAAACGCACAAGAUUUGGGGACUCAGCCAGGCCGGGGUUUGGUUCUUGGUUCUGUCACUUGCUAGCUCAGUGGCUUUUGGCAAGUCAGUUUAUCUGCAGCUUCGUUGCUACCUCUACAUUAUGGAGAUGAAAGUGUCCACCUCCAAGUGUGGUUUUGAAGAUUCAAUGAGAUAAUGUGAAUAAAGUGUGUAGCGAAGUGUUUGGCACAAAGCUAAUAUUGAGUCAUUUAUUAUUACCACGGACAUUAAUAAUCAGAGGAAAAUAAGUUUUAAAGGUAAAACUUCUUUUGCGAGAAACCCUCAUGGACACAGGCAGCGGAGUGGCGAAGCGAUCCCUGAGGUCAGGUUCUGAGUUCAGAACCAGGGCAAAGCACAGAGCAAGCGGCACUCAAGUCUUCCCAGUGAAGAUGCUUUUGGUUGCAAGGAGCAGAAACUCUCUCACUGAGCUGGAGUCCUGAAUUCGUUAUGAUAUCAGGUGUCAGGGAAACCAGGGCCACACUACAAACAUGGCUGCUUUAGGCCAUGCAGCUGUGGACCACAGUUGGUGACAGAUUCCCAGGAUGCUGGCUAGGAUCGGACCCAGGCGGCACUUCUGGAUUCCUAGUUUUUGCUGGAGAGGGGUCGACUGCCAGAUUAACAGGCUGUCUGGCAAAUGGCGGCCUUCGGCAGCACUUAGGUCCGAAAACACAAAGGUUGGCCUAAGAAAACCAUAAUUAACUACACACACACACACACACACACACACACACACACACACACACACACUCACUAGAAAUAAAAGACUAGUGUCUCUUUUAAUUGUCAUUUUUAUAGCUCCCCACCGCAGCUGCCCCCCACCCUUC